rnacentral:lncRNA from 1 species
ACCAAAGUGGAUUUAUUGUAUCUGUCGAUAACCACCCAGCCAACAGGAACUUUUACUCGCAGCUUCUUUGUGCUGGUCAUCUGCAAACAUCCAUAAUUCGUCCUCACAAUAAUUAUCUCAAGAUGCAUCUCCUCUUCGAUUCUGUGCACAAUUUCAAAAAUAUCUAUAACUGUUUUCAGUGGCAAGAAUACUUCAAUAUCCUCCUGAACUGUCUGGGUGCCAAAACGUUUUUACGUUCCAAUUUUGCUCACAUUAAAGAGAUCUAUCACAAGGAAUCCACGUAUAAAGUAUAUUAAUGGAAAAAGGUUGUUUGGUAUACCAAAAUGUUGAUGUCACAUGAAAACGAAUUAUAUAUAAGAGUAUACGUUUAUUACUAAUACGUAUACAUGGUGGGGAUUUUAAAAUCAGAACAAGUUAAGACCUCCAUAUCUUGUCAACCCUGAAAUCUAUAUUCAUGAAAAUAUACUCAUCAGAUUUGGCUGAUAAAACUGUAUAAAAAAACAACAACUUUGGCUAUGUCCUCCGAAUACGGACGCUGUGGGCGAUUAUUGUGUGCCUCUGUCCUGGACGCACGUCCAAGGACAUUAUUAAGUUUACAAAGGUGCCCAAAUCAACUGUUUAGGAUUUUGCCAAGGCUUUCAAGGAGGCUGAUGGGUCGAGAAUACCACCUGCAAAGAAGACUCACGAUAGCUUUGAUAGAGCUCCAGACUUCCUGAAGCUAAAGGUCAAAGGAAAUGUGCCUUCCUAACUGCCAGGAUCUGAAUACUUUGCACUACUAUGUGGGGCCAUCUAAUAAAUGCGCAAACAAUACUGUUGACUCCUUGGUCAUCUAUUCUCGAGUCAGUUGCCCACAUAAAUAAGGAGUUUUUCAUCAAGGCCUGUGCCAGGUUCAGCGCCAGACAGCAAACAGCGCGAGAGGAUUAAAAUGAAUGGGGUAAGAAAGAUAUGACUUUGUACUAAAAAAACCUUGUUGGACAGUUUUUUGAUUGAUUGAGUCAGUGAUGUUUGGUCGCACGUCAAAUAUGGACACAAGCAAAAAGAAAAUUUGCCAUAUUUUCGUAGAUUUUGAUUUCCAAGAUGCACCACGCUCUAAAAGCCCAAUUAUCGAUAAUAUGGAUACAAUAAAGAAGAUCGUCAAAUGA